rnacentral:rRNA from 1 species
CGAACGGGUGAGUAACGCUGGGGAAUCUGCCUUUGANCGGGGGACAACAUUUGGAAACGAAUGCUAAUACCGCAUAAAAACUUUAAACACAAGUUUUAAGUUUGAAAGAUGCAAUUGCAUCACUCAAAGAUGAUCCCGCGUUGUAUUAGCUAGUUGGUGAGGUAAAGGCUCACCAAGGCGAUGAUACAUAGCCGACCUGAGAGGGUGAUCGGCCACAUUGGGACUGAGACACGGCCCAAACUCCUACGGGAGGCAGCAG